UACGUAGGGGGCAAGCGUUGUCCGGAAUCAUUGGGCGUAAAGAGCGUGUAGGCGGCCCGGUAAGUCCGCUGUGAAAGUCGAGGGCUCAACCCUCGAAUGCCGGUGGAUACUGUCGGGCUCGAGUGCGGAAGAGGCGAGUGGAAUUCCUGGUGUAGCGGUGAAAUGCGCAGAUAUCAGGAGGAACACCAAUUGCGAAGGCAGCUCGCUGGGACGUUACUGACGCUGAGACGCGAAAGCGUGGGGAGCAAACAGG
rnacentral:rRNA from 1 species